GAUGAACGCUGGCGGCGUGCCUAAUACAUGCAAGUCGAGCGAAAAGACGAGGAGCUUGCUCCUCUGACGUUAGCGGCGGACGGGUGAGUAACACGUGGAUAACCUACCUAUAAGACUGGGAUAACUUCGGGAAACCGGAGCUAAUACCGGAUAAUAUAUUGAACCGCAUGGUUCAAUAGUGAAAGACGGUUUUGCUGUCACUAUUAGAUGGAUCCGCGCCGCAUUAGCUAGUUGGUAAGGUAACGGCUUACCAAGGCAACGAUGCGUAGCCGACCUGAGAGGGUGAUCGGCCACACUGGAACUGAGACACGGUCCAGACUCCUACGGGAGGCAGCAGUAGGGAAUCUUCCGCAAUGGGCGAAAGCUUGACGGAGCAACGCCGCGUGAGUGAUGAAGGUCUUCGGAUCGUAAAACUCUGUUAUUAGGGAAGAACAAAUGUGUAAGUAACUAUGCACGUCUUGACGGUACCUAAUCAGAAAGCCACGGCUAACUACGUG
rnacentral:rRNA from 1 species